rnacentral:rRNA from 1 species
UACGUAGGGUGCAGGCGUUAAUCGGAAUUACUGGGCGUAAAGCGUGCGCAGGCGGUUUGCUAAGACAGGUGUGAAAUCCCCGGGCUUAACCUGGGAACUGCGCUUGUAACUGGCAAGCUGGAGUGUGGCAGAGGGGGGUGGAAUUCCACGUGUAGCAGUGAAAUGCGUAGAGAUGUGGAGGAACACCGAUGGCGAAGGCAGCCCCCUGGGCUAACACUGACGCUCAUGCACGAAAGCGUGGGGAGCAAACAGGAUUAGAUACCCCAGUAGUCC